GGAUGCGAUCAUACCAGCACUAAAGCACCGUAUCCCAUCAGAACUUUGAAGUUAAGCGUGCUUGGGCGAGAGUAGUACUAGGAUGGGUGACCUCCUGGGAAGUCCUCUUGUUGCCUUCC
rnacentral:rRNA from 1 species